rnacentral:rRNA from 1 species
GUUUUUUUGUAGGGGAUGAAAAAUUGGGCCUGCCCAGUGUAUAAUUAACGGCCGCGGUAACUUGACCGUGCAAAGGUAGCAUAAUCAUUAGUUCUUUAAUUGGGGGUUGGAAARAAGGKUUUGUCGGCYUGAGGCKGUCUGUUUGUUUUGUAGUGAAUUUUAGUUCACUGUGAAGACGCAGUGAUGACUUAAAAAGACGAGAAGACCCUAUAAAGCUUUAGGCCAGGAUWUUAUUUGUGAUAUUGUUGGUAUUUUGGCGGGGCGACGGCCAUUAUACUGAACAUGGUUAGAGUGUAGUUGGAUAUUUUUGNNNNNNNNNNNNNNNGGUUGAUCCAUUAUAGGUGAUAAAAGGAGAAGCUAAUGUAGGGAUAACAGCGUAAUUGGACUGGAGAGUUCAUAAUGAUAGUCUUGAUUGCGACCUCGAUGUUGAAUUCGGGU